UACAGAGGUCCCAAGCGUUGCUCGGAAUCACUGGGCGUAAAGCGCACGUAGGCGGGUUUUUAAGUCAGAGGUGAAAUCCCGGGGCUCAACCCCGGAACUGCCUUUGAUACUGGGAGGCUCGAGUCCGGGAGAGGUGAGUGGAACUGCGAGUGUAGAGGUGAAAUUCGUAGAUAUUCGCAAGAACACCAGUGGCGAAGGCGGCUCACUGGCCCGGUACUGACGCUGAGGUGCGAAAGCGUGGGGAGCAAACAGG
rnacentral:rRNA from 1 species